GCGGAUGAUGAGUAAAUUUAAGCGGAGUGAUGAAGAACCCUAUGAGCGCUGACG
rnacentral:snoRNA from 1 species